UACGAAGGGGGCUAGCGUUGUUCGGAAUCACUGGGCGUAAAGCGCACGUAGGCGGAUGUGCCAGUCAGGGGUGAAAUCCCAGAGCUCAACUCUGGAACUGCCUCUGAUACAGCACAUCUUGAGUUCGAGAGAGGUGGGUGGAAUUCCUAGUGUAGAGGUGAAAUUCGUAGAUAUUAGGAAGAACACCGGUGGCGAAGGCGGCCCACUGGCUCGAUACUGACGCUGAGGUGCGAAAGCGUGGGGAGCAAACAGG
rnacentral:rRNA from 1 species